CACAUUGUCUAUUAGGUCUAAGCUAUAGAUUCAACAAAUCGGUUCUCUAAAAGAAGUUUUGAGAUUGAUGGUAGAAGAGUGUUGGUGAUGGAGAGAAGUAGAACCCUAGCUGAGCUGCGAGAGAAGAACCAAAGACAUAUGAUCUUCAGCUUUAGCUGGUUCACUUGGAUCAGCUGAGCUAUAAACCCAAAAUGAUAAUCACAAUGAUAAUCUUAUGAAAUGUCCACCCAAGCCAGAAGUUGACUCUCCUGUAUGAUGCACCUAAUUCUGUUUCGACUAGGCACCGAAAAGGGAGAGGAUUCAUAAACCCUCUUUUGGAAAAAAAAAGGUGUUGAAAAGGCUGCUGAGGAGUGAGGACUUACAGAAAUAUGACCUGAAUAAAUGAUCCGAUUGCUUCCGGAGAUCCAUACAAUGACAUUAUUCGUUUCAAGACUUGUAACUUUUGCUUAUUUUUGUGUUGAGUGACUUUUCUUAUGACAUGUGAGUUUUGUUCUGCGUGAAGUUUAGCCUGUAUAACUACGAAUCAACUGAGCUUAGGACUAAAAGGGAGUUUGAAUCUUAUGGACUAAUUAAACGUUUAGGUGAUGCUGAAUAUUACUGGUGUUGUACACUUUACAUUCUUGGUAGUUGGAGUUGGGAGCAUUAGAAAACCCGUUUCUCUUUUCGUAUUUUCUACAUCUCUAAAUGUUUGUGGUAUGUUGGACUUGCGCUACUAUGAAUGUGAUCUGGUACUUAGUAGCUCUUUCUUUUCUAGCAACCAAGGUUAGUGGUUUUAUAGACUUUAUACAUUGUUGGUAGUUGGAGUCAUACUCAGGCUUGGUGGUGGACUUGGGAUAUCAUUUUCAUUUCUCACUAAACUCGUUGGGACCAAUUUUGGUGCUGAUAAUGUUGUGGCCUUGUCUGCAGUGAGAAAACUCGGGGUAAGGACAAAAGAAAGGGAACCAGAAAAGGUCUCUCAUGACAGACCAAGAGAGAAUAAACAUCUCAGAGACUGGGACGGAGGAAGCAGAGACAAGACAACAGACAUGACCGUGACCAUGCUACAAGGGAUCAUGGAGGGAGCAAGAUUAUGAAGGAUUAGCACGGUGGGCGGCGACCGAAGGCGAGACAGAGAUGACAAGAGAGAAAAUGAUAUAAAAUACCGACCAAGUAAAUUGGUUCUUUGUACCAAAACAGAUUGGAUUGUAAAGUUGUGAUCUUCUCUUAAUAAUUUUUUUCGCUGUAACUCUAAUUUAACAAUUUUAUUUUCUCUAAAAAAGAUAGCAAUGC